AUUUCUUGAUAAUAUAUGGAGAGUUACCUUUUUGCUAUCUGAAGGUUGCUCUGAGAACAAACUGAAAUGCCCUCAAUCAGAGAAUCUUCUUCAGCUUUGAUGAGUAUUUUUAUUAUUACCCAAGAUCUGGUUAAAAAAAAAAAACUAAAAAUAUGAAAGGUACUCCUUCCUCUGAGUUCUGGAGCAGAUUCUUGAGAGUGACAGGAUAUAUGACUAAACAGACAGACCUCAUUGUGGGUUAUGACACAAGCAUGCUGAAACAUGUCAGACUUGCACAGGACAACAGACCACCAUGAAUAAAGUCUUCACAUGAGGCAUGCCAGUAAGAGAACAAAGAAUGCUAAGUGAAUGGAGGCAGUGGUGUUGUAGCCUCCAAGGAAGCGGCUUUUGGUAGCAUGAAGCACCAAGUGAUUUUUUCCGGUGACUGCAGAUGGACAUUGCUGCCACAUGUUCUAUCUAGAAAAGGUCACUAGUUCAGUAGUGAAUGACAGGAAAAUCUGCCUAGGAUGUCAUGUGUCCCUUCUUUAGGGUUCAAAGCCACUUGAGAAUGAAUAGGUCAGAAAAGCAUGCUAGAUAAUGUUGGAUAAUAUUUAAAAACUACCAAAUCCAGGAAAAGAUGUCAA